GCGGGGUUGCCCUCCUACAAUGUGUGUUUUCAUUGGUUCAACGCUUGCCCCUGCGGCGAACCAACUCUGGAUUUGUAAACAUUGUUAGUCGGAGAGGUGAGAAGAACGACACGAGACGACGACAAUAAUAAAUUGGCAAGAAUCGUCGUCGCGUCGAUAAUGGCGCCGACGUCGUGCGUGGUUUGCGGAUGCACAUUUUAUUCCGAACCGAACGGCGUUAGUUUCCACGUCAUAUCGCGGCGAUACCCAUAGCUUUGUAAGAGAUGGCUUGAGGUAAUCGAUAAUCCCGCGUUGGCAGUGGACACACCGGAGACGCAUCCAUUCUGGUGUGCAGCCAACACUUCCACCCCGAAGACUUGGAGCACCACUUAGCCGGUCAGCUGUUGGGGAAAGACAGCGGCGUGGGUGGUGGUGGUGGUGGCCAGAGACGCGUGGAAGGAUCGACAACUUCUGGACCCCAGGAAAUACACCGAACUGAGGUUAUCGCCAGUGUGAUUUCUUCCAUUCCUCAAUUCUCCACCAUUCUGUGUUCACCUAAGUCAGCAUCAUCUGCCUCAGUGCCACCCUGGCUCAUCGAGAGAGGCUAUAAGCCGGCUCAUCACAAACUUCUGCCCUUGUAAGGCAUGUGGACUGCCAGACUGAACCUCCAAACAGAAGAGCGGUUGGCACACAGCUUUCCAUGGGAAAUCUGCACCAUCACAUUAAAGGUACCCAGGCAAUCUUGUCCUGUGAGGACUUUGAACUUGACAACACUGCUGGCCCCUUGAUCGCCCCAGAACCUUUUCCGGCUAAGAGACCUCAUCUACACAUUAAGGAGGAAGAGGAUGAGGAGCAGGAGGAGGGCAGUAUAACAGUUACCAUAUGACUGACGGACACAUGUUGUGACACUGGUAACUGCUUUGGUGUUUGACUACCGGGAAUCCCAGAGAUUCUUUCACCAUGAAACAGAGUUGCCUUGCCAGUGCUGUUGUGGGAGGAUCUUUCCCACCACCAUCUCCUUGCUUGGGAUGGGUUCACUUCCAAGUAUCAGAGUUCCUACUCUAAACCAGACAGGGAGCAGUUGUCGGAAUCGGAGCAUCUUGGAUCAGUGGGGACCAACUUUUUUUUCUUUUUUUUUAAAACUUUUUUUGUAUAUAUCAUGUCUGUAGACAAAAGUGCUUGGACACACUAGCAUUCAUAUUUUUACCGGAAUGACUGAGUUCUACUGAGAGAUGUGCAAUGUUGGCAGAUUUAUGAAUGCUCUAUUAUGUGGCCUUCAGCCUAGUCUCUCAUUUUAAACUUGAAUAGAACCUGAGUUUGUGUUGAUGGUUGUAUAUGAUGGUACAGGUCUUAUGUUUGUUUAAAUGCACCAGCUGUGGAAAGUACCUGAAGGAUGUUUGUAUUCAUGUAAAAAUAAAUAUUUUCAGUAUAAAUAUCGUGCUUGUUGAACUCUUGUUACAGCCUUAUCUGGAGAAGCCUAAAGUUAGUUUGUCAUGUUUGUCAUGAAGUACCAUGUACAUAAAUUCAAACGCAGUGAAAUGUGUGUGCCCUGGAGCUCUCGGCCAC